GGAGGAAUUAGGUUUUCAGGGAGAGAAGAGCUCUGACCCCAGAGAUUAAAAUCAGGGAUCCUCUUGUCACCGUCCUUUUGAACCUUGGAAGGGCUUUGUGUUUUGCCUUCUCAGAAUCGGAAGACCAGACUCCUUGAGAGCAUCUCCUGAGACCACGGUUAUGAAAACACAGUGUCUGCUGAAGAUUUCAAUGGGAAUCAUAGUAGGCAAAGAAAUAUGUGUGGCAAGCAAUGUGCUCUCUCAAGAAGGAACAGGCAGAUGAUAUUAGCUCUGUUCUGCACAGAGAGAAAUCAGUUCUCCAGGAGGCAGGGGCUGAAGAAGUUCUUUCUAGGACAGAUUCCUGACUUGCGAUCGCCUCAUCAUAUCCAUUACGUUCUCAUUCGGCAAGACCCAUGAUGUCCCCAGCCCCACUUUCCCUGAGUGCCUCUCUGAGACCCCUCUGUCUGGGGCAAGGUGCAGCAUUUUGCGUGGGUGUUUAGGCUUCUACUGGGCACUUCAGCUGAAACUUCUGUCGGCCACUCCAGUAUGCCCUGCCUCCCCUCGCGUGUGCAACCUUGGGGCUGCCCACAUGUUGCCUCCUUGAGUUGGAAAAAUCCCCAUAUCCCACUCUCUGCUCUCCCUUUGCCUGCUUGUUCUCUAAGUCUUCCCUGUCACCAUGCCUUAAUUUCACCUCAAUGCGCAUGUUCACAAACACACACGUGUGUACACAGUCACUCCCGCCCGCUCUGUACUAAAAUAAAAAUAAAAGAAAGCAA